CUAUGGUCCAUUCUACAGCUGGUGCUAUCUCAGUGAGGAGAAUGACUUGACUGUUGACCCAUACGGCCCUUCUAUUUCUCACCUGUUUGUUCGGAUCAUGGACCGCAUUGAAGACCCAUUUACUGAUGAUGAUACAAGCGAUCAGGAUCUGUGUGACGCUGGUUGGACACGUAACGGUAAUGCAUGCUACCAACUAGUUGAAUCUACCGUCGACUAUAGUACAGCCCUUGAUGCGUGCAGAAAUCUCAAUGACUACGGUGAUCUGGCGAGCGUAGCUGAUCAAGACGAAAGCAACUUUCUUUCCGUUUA